AGUGUAUGCUCAGCCACUUGCAAGGUGCCAGGCACGACGUGCCUGCUCUAUACAUGCCCGUUGAGUGAAUAAAGCCACCAAGUUGCCUCCAGAAAGGGCCUUUGAUGUCUGUGCCAACCCAUCAGAAUAAUGGCAGCUCUGGAAAAAAAAGUACAUAUUUGAUGUCACAGAGAAGAAUCCUAACAGAAAAGAAUGCUCUGAACCUUCUAAGGCACAUAUACGAGGGAAACGGAGUCUAGCUUUUCAGCUUAAUGACGAGUUUGAUGCUUCUUUUCCCGUAGGAUUGUGACGAAUGUAACAUGACCAGAUGCCACCACAUUCUACCGUGGCGAAAGUCAGACCUGUCCCUGGGUGGAGCCCAGCGUGGAUUUCUGGCCACCUGUACACCUGGAAUUUCCUGAUCUGAUGUCACUAAAUAUUUUCAGUAAAGGCAAUUAUUAUGUGACAAAAUAAAAAAAAACCCUUCAUUUUCAUACCUUUGUAAAACUUGAUGAUAAAACAGAUCAGAAAAAAUGA